rnacentral:rRNA from 2 species
UGGCGGCGUGCUUAUUACAUGCAAGUCGAACGAACUCUGGUAUUGAUUGGUGCUUGCAUCAUGAUUUACAUUUGAGUGAGUGGCGAACUGGUGAGUAACACGUGGGAAACCUGCCCAGAAGCGGGGGAUAACACCUGGAAACAGAUGCUAAUACCGCAUAACAACUUGGACCGCAUGGUCCGAGCUUGAAAGAUGGCUUUGGCUAUCACUUUUGGAUGGUCCCGCGGCGUAUUAGCUAGAUGGUGGGGUAACGGCUCACCAUGGCAAUGAUACGUAGCCGACCUGAGAGGGUAAUCGGCCACAUUGGGACUGAGACACGGCCCAAACUCCUACGGGAGGCAGCAGUAGGGAAUCUUCCACAAUGGACGAAAGUCUGAUGGAGCAACGCCGCGUGAGUGAAGAAGGGUUUCGGCUCGUAAAACUCUGUUGUUAAAGAAGAACAUAUCUGAGAGUAACUGUUCAGGUAUUGACGGUAUUUAACCAGAAAGCCACGGCUAACUACGUGCCAGCAGCCGCGGUAAUACGUAGGUGGCAAGCGUUGUCCGGAUUUAUUGGGCGUAAAGCGAGCGCAGGCGGUUUUUUAAGUCUGAUGUGAAAGCCUUCGGCUCAACCGAAGAAGUGCAUCGGAAACUGGGAAACUUGAGUGCAGAAGAGGACAGUGGAACUCCAUGUGUAGCGGUGAAAUGCGUAGAUAUAUGGAAGAACACCAGUGGCGAAGGCGGCUGUCUGGUCUGUAACUGACGCUGAGGCUCGAAAGUAUGGGUAGCAAACAGGAUUAGAUACCCUGGUAGUCCAUACCGUAAACGAUGAAUGCUAAGUGUUGGAGGGUUUCCGCCCUUCAGUGCUGCAGCUUACGCAUUAAGCAUUCCGCCUGGGGAGUACGGCCGCAAGGCUGAAACUCAAAGGAAUUGACGGGGGCCCGCACAAGCGGUGGAGCAUGUGGUUUAAUUCGAAGCUACGCGAAGAACCUUACCAGGUCUUGACAUACUAUGCAAAUCUA